rnacentral:rRNA from 1 species
GACGAACGCUGGCGGCGUGCUUAACACAUGCAAGUCGAACGGAAAGGCCCUGCUUUUGUGGGGUGCUCGAGUGGCGAACGGGUGAGUAACACGUGAGUAACCUGCCCUUGACUUUGGGAUAACUUCAGGAAACUGGGGCUAAUACCGGAUAGGAGCUCCUGCUGCAUGGUGGGGGUUGGAAAGUUUCGGCGGUUGGGGAUGGACUCGCGGCUUAUCAGCUUGUUGGUGGGGUAGUGGCUUACCAAGGCUUUGACGGGUAGCCGGCCUGAGAAGGUGACCGGCCACAUUGGGACUGAUAUACGGCCCAGACUCCUACGGGAGGCAGCAGUGGGGAAGAUUGCACAAUGGGCGGAAGCCUGAUGCAGCAACGCCGCGGGCGGGAUGACGGCCUUCGGGUUGUAAACCGCUUUCGCCUGUGACGAAGCGUGAGUGACGGUAAUGGGUAAAGAAGCACCGGCUAACUACGUG